rnacentral:rRNA from 1 species
UUACUCUGAAUUGAAGAGUAAUUUCAUCUGAUCUUGGAAGCUAAGCAGGGUCAGACCUGGUUAGUACUUGGAUGGGAGACCACCUGGGAAUACCAGGU